GAUGAACGCUGGCGGCGUGCUUAAUACAUGCAAGUCGAGCGAACAGAUGAGGAGCUUGCUCCUCUGACGUUAGCGGCGGACGGGUGAGUAACACGUGGAUAACCUACCUAUAAGACUGGGAUAACUUCGGGAAACCGGAGCUAAUACCGGAUAAUAUAUUGAACCGCAUGGUUCAAUAGUGAAAGACGGUUUUGCUGUCACUUAUAGAUAGAUCCGCGCCGCAUUAGAUAGUUGGUAAGGUAACGGCUUACCAAGGAACGAUGCGUAGCCGACCCGAGAGGGUGAUCGGCCACACUGGCACUGAGACACAGUCCAGACUCCUACAGGAGGCCGCAGUAGGGAAUCUUCCGCAAUGGGCGAAAGCCUGACGGAGCAACGCCGCGUGAGUGAUGAAGGUCUUCGGAUCGUAAAACUCUGUUAUUAGGGAAGAACAAAUGUGUAAGUACCUAUGCACGUCUUGACGGUACCUGAUCAAAAAGCCACGGCUAACUACGUG
rnacentral:rRNA from 1 species